rnacentral:rRNA from 1 species
GGAUGGACCCGCGGCGUAUUAGCUAGUUGGUGAGGUAAAGGCUCACCAAGGCAGUGAUACGUAGCCGACCUGAGAGGGUAAUCGGCCACAUUGGGACUGAGACACGGCCCAGACUCCUACGGGAGGCAGCAGUAGGGAAUCUUCCACAAUGGACGCAAGUCUGAUGGAGCAACGCCGCGUGAGUGAAGAAGGGUUUCGGCUCGUAAAGCUCUGUUGUUAAAGAAGAACGUGGGUAAGAGUAACUGUUUACCCAGUGACGGUAUUUAACCAGAAAGCCACGGCUAACUACGUGCCAGCAGCCGCGGUAAUACGUAGGUGGCAAGCGUUAUCCGGAUUUAUUGGGCGUAAAGCGAGCGCAGGCGGUCUUUUAAGUCUAAUGUGAAAGCCUUCGGCUCAACCGAAGAAGUGCAUUGGAAACUGGGAGACUUGAGUGCAGAAGAGGACAGUGGAACUCCAUGUGUAGCGGUGAAAUGCGUAGAUAUAUGGAAGAACACCAGUGGCGAAGGCGGCUGUCUGGUCUGCAACUGACGCUGAGGCUCGAAAGCAUGGGUAGCGAACAGGAUUAGAUACCCUGGUAGUCCAUGCCGUAAACGAUGAUUACUAAGUGUUGGAGGGUUUCCGCCCUUCAGUGCUGCAGCUAACGCAUUAAGUAAUCCGCCUGGGGAGUACGACCGCAAGGUUGAAACUCAAAAGAAUUGACGGGGGCCCGCACAAGCGGUGGAGCAUGUGGUUUAAUUCGAAGCUACGCGAAGAACCUUACCAGGUCUUGACAUCUUCUGACAGUCUAAGAGAUUAGAGGUUCCCUUCGGGGACAGAAUGACAGGUGGUGCAUGGUUGUCGUCAGCUCGUGUCGUGAGAUGUUGGGUUAAGUCCCGCAACGAGCGCAACCCUUAUUACUAGUUGCCAGCAUUAAGUUGGGCACUCUAGUGAGACUGCCGGUGACAAACCGGAGGAAGGUGGGGACGACGUCAAAUCAUCAUGCCCCUUAUGACCUGGGCUACACACGUGCUACA